CACACAGUGACCUGCAGCCUCCAACUGCGUUUUCAGUUUGUACCAAGUCCACGCGCCGUGGCAAAGACCAUGGACGAGCACAAACCGCUUCUGGUUCUCCUUCUCCAUUUCCUUCUUUACUUUCAACAUCUUUGUUCAGGAACACUUACAUAGACAGUUUGUUUCCGCAUAUUCUUUGUAUACUAAAAACCUAUCUUCUGUAUUCAACUUUUAAAUUUAGUGCUUGUUCUGUAUAAACUGACAAAGCUUUAGGUACUGUAUAUCUUUCUGCCAAUAGUAUGAGAGAAAAAGAUAAAGCAGAGAUCCACACGGCUCAAAUACAGUAACUUUCUGAGAAAGAGAUAUAUUAGGUCUGAAUAGUUGUAGUUACUUCACUAGAUUCGUUAAAGUGUCAUUGGUGUGAAAUGUCUAAUGAAUCUUUCUGGUAUUUCACUAGAUUCGUUAAAGUGUCGUUGGUGUGCGUCCAAAUGCUCUACGUACCUAUCUAUAUCCAACUUUGUUUUCAGAAGGAAAAAAAAACUUUGUUUUUCUGUAUCUUAAUUUUACUGGAACAAUUUUAGCAAAAAAAAAAAAAUAGUUUACUGGAACAAGAUUGAGGGAUGAUAAAUAUUUUUGGUUUAGAUACUAAGACCUUUUUGGAUAGGAAUUUUGUAUCUUUUUUAUAAUUGGUUUUGGAUAGAAAUUUGGAGAUGAUGCAGCAAUAUAAAGGUUGUUUGUUAUACAGCUUCAAAACGAUGUUAGCUACUUCAAAGAGAUAUAUCAGUUGACAAAAACGUGAUUGAAGAUGAAGAAAUGCUUGAGAGUGGAAAAAGAGAACAUUAUCAGCUUUUUCUUCGCUAGAUAUAACUUAUCAUUACCUUGUUUGGAUCGUGACGGACAUUUGAGUUGCAUGUGUCUCAUAAACUGACUGCGACUCAAGUUUGUAGUUUAGAAAGCAGAGCACAAAAUAUAAAUUGCAGUUCGCUCUUUCUUAUUCAAUUAUCUCAGAAAUUUUUAUUCAUAACCAUUUCUAUUAGUAUUAUCACUUUAAUAGUUCUCUCGUAUAUAGUUGUUUUCUCAUAUGGCUUUUGGUUGUCAUCGAAGCUGAUGUUCGUUGUGGAAAAUAACACUCCCUACGUCUUUAUGCAUUGGUUAAACGUUUGCAGAAAACAUGACCCUCCUUUCUACAGUAUUAAUAUACCAUUGAAUGACGCUCUUACGCUUGUGUUUUGUAUAUAUAAUGAAUCUUAGAGAUAACAUUUCAAGUUUGAUGCACAUAUAUUACUUGAGUUGAAGCCAAAGUUUGUUAAUAAUUUAGUAUUAGAAUGAUCUCAAGAUCUUAUUCAUAUAACCACUUGCACUAAAAUUAUCUUCUGCUAAGUUAUCAUACAUAUAGAUGCAUUUUCAUAUGGCUUAUUACUUAUUAUAAUUAUUAUUACUGUAGUCGAUGCAGUAGAGACUUCAGGAGGUUUAUUUAUGCAUAUUUACAAGCGAUUUCCAAGAGAAGAGCACAGACUUCAUGAGGUUUGGAGAACAUUGCCAUAUGAUCUGCAUCUUUGAUCUCCAUUACUUCUUUUGGCUGAAAGUUCCUGAUCAUCCAACGCUGGUAAUCCUCACGUACUAUAUUACUCUCUCCAGAUAUUAUAUAUAUACGUGUAAUGGAUCCGUAUCUUUCUUCACUGAAGCUUCUCGUCCCAGCCAGAUUGUUUGUAACGAAGGGGUUUGCCCUCAACAACAUUUUCGCCAAUUCAAGAUCCUAGUCCGCACGACAACAAUCAACAAAAAGGUUGAAUAAAAAGAAGAGUUUUAUUUAUUAAGCUUGGAGUCUUACUUUACGUGGAGAGAGUUGAUACACUUUCUUGGCCAUGAACUUUGGUCCCAAAAGAGCAAAAUCUAGAGGACAAUCAGGUUUCCCGUACUUCCCCAACACGGUGUCCAACCAUUCCUCACGUGGAAUGCUUUUUAAGAACUGCAAGUUUCAGUCAAAUAUAAGAAUCAUUCGCCAGAGAUCAUACUAAAUCAUCGUCAUAUGUUUAUGUUACCUUUUCGUACACAUAAGCAGGUGGGUUUCUUGUGUCAGGCAUGAAACCUGUCAAGAAGGCAAUAGCAGCAAUCUUACAAGGGAAGAUGUCAGCAGCAAGUGCAGCGCAUAUUCCUCCCAUGCUAUGAGCAACAAGAAUCACUUUUUCGUCAUCUGAGCAAAGCGAGCUCAGAAACUCAAGCAAUGGUUUGCAGUAAUCUUCUAAAGUCUGAAUCUCUUCCAAUCUGGUCAUGUUUAUACCCGAAGAAGCUAGAUCAACUGCAGUUACACAGAGCCCUGCCGCCUCCAGAUGCGGUUUCACUUUGUACCAAGACCAUGCGCCGUGGCAGAG
rnacentral:lncRNA from 1 species